GAUGAACGCUGGCGGCGUGCCUAAUACAUGCAAGUCGAGCGAACAGACGAGGAGCUUGCUCCUCUGACGUUAGCGGCGGACGGGUGAGUAACACGUGGAUAACCUACCUAUAAGACUGGGAUAACUUCGGGAAACCGGAGCUAAUACCGGAUAAUAUAUUGAACCGCAUGGUUCAAUAGUGAAAGACGGUUUUGCUGUCACUUAUAGAUGGAUCCGCGCCGCAUUAGCUAGUUGGUAAGGUAACGGCUUACCAAGGCAACGAUGCGUAUCCGACCUGAGAGGGUGAUAGGCCACACUGGAACUGAGACACGGUCCAGACUCCUACGGGAGGCAGCAGUAGGGAAUCUUCCGCAAUGGGCGAAAGCCUGACGGAGCAACGCCGCGUGAGUGAUGAAGGUCUUCGGAUCGUAAAACUCUGUUAUUAGGGAAGAACAAAUGUGUAAGUAACUAUGCACGUCUUGACGGUACCUAAUCAGAAAGCCACGGCUAACUACGUG
rnacentral:rRNA from 1 species